CUCCACUCUCCUGGAACUGAUAAGAUCAGUUGUGUCACAGGGUUGAAUUGAAUAAAGUUUAUUGAGGGUUGAGGUGGGUUGAGGUGGCACAUGAUAGGCCAUCCCUCUGCUCUCAGGACAGGAGGCAGAACAACCAAUCAGAGAAGGCCUGUCUCUGGACCAGUCCAGGGACUCUGCUCUCAGGACAGGAGGCAGAACAACCAAUCAGAGAAGGCCUGUCUCUGGACCAGUCCAGGGACUCUGCUCUCAGGACAGGAGGCAGAACAACCAAUCAGAGAAGGCCUGUCUCUGGACCAGUCCAGGGACUCUGCUCUCAGGACAGGAGGCAGAACAACCAAUUAGAGAAGGCCUGUCUCUGGACCAGUCCAGGGACUCUGCUCUCAGGACAGGAGGCAGAACAACCAAUCAGAGAAGGCCUGUCUCUGGACCAGUCCAGGGACUCUGCUCUCAGGACAGGAGGCAGAACAACCAAUCAGAGAAGGCCUGUCUCUGGACCAGUCCAGGGACUCUGCUCUCAGGACAGGAGGCAGAACAACCAAUCAGAGAAGGCCUGUCUCUGGACCAGU